GUGUUUGCUUUGGCAGCACAUAUAAUAAAAUUGGAAUGAUACAGAGAAGAUUAGUAUGGUUCCUGAACAAGGAUGACAUGCAAAUUCCUGAAGCAUUCCAUCUUUUU
ensembl:snRNA U6 U6 spliceosomal RNA